CCACAUUUUCUUAAUCCAGUCUAUCAUUGAUGAACAUUUGAGUUGGUUCCAAGUCUUUGCUAUUGUCUUCACAGAUACUUUCAUGGGGCAUGCUCUCUCUCAUUUUCUAUAGGUCUGUGCUCCGACACCUCAUCAUGAGAGAGGACUUCCCUAGCCAACUUCUCUGACCUCCCUAGGGCUCAGGUUCAAGGACAAUUGCCUGAAAGAGACCUCUUCUGAUCUCACCUUGUUCACAACGGUCCCAAAAUCUGUCAAAAGCAAGAAUGGUGUUUUGGAGAAGGAAGGAGGUAGGACUAUGUCCAUGUUUAAGGCAAUGUGAAACAAGAUGAGAAAGGGCGGCUGCAGCACAUGCAAGAUUUGGGGAGAAGAAAUCAAAAGUUGAACUUGGAGCACACAGUGGAUGGCAAUCACCAGGAACAUUUAAGUCUGACCCCCAGGAACCCUCAGGAGUAAAGGAGUGAUGAUGAGGGGAUGGAUUACCCAAGUUACUUGAAAUGAGAACUCCAUCAUUUACUCUGGAUCUUUAAGAGUUAAGUAUGACAUGCCGAUAGGAUUGGAGAAUCUGGGGACAUUCCAGUUCUACUAAAUUGAUGACAAUGAUCAACAUAUUUCACAAUUCUAUUUCUCUUUUCAGGUAGAAUUAUUUUUCACUGCAAAGUAUUCAUUAUUGGGAAAAGUAGGUUUUAAAAAAAAUUAACUUAUAUUUAAUUUAUUUAUUUUCUUAGCAUUCUGACAAAUAGAGGCAAAAAAAGCCAAGACAUUCUUAGGCUUAGGAGAGAGAGACGUAGAAAGCCCCAAAUAAAAUAUCGAAAUCUUUCUUCUACUUUUGCGAAGUGGUUUUUCUUUUAGGAAGAAAUAGAUGGCUAUAGCUGUGUAAAUCUCUUCUCAGAAGAAGUGAUAUGGUAAAGGAAGGAGAUCAUCAGAAUCUCUUUAAUCAUCUGUCAAAUGUUAUUCGUUGCAUUCUAUUAACAAUGUUUUCCUCUUUGGAACAGCUGUCUCCUGUGCUAUAAGCAGUAAUGAAGAAUUGUUAACUGCAUAUUGAGAAAGUGAGUAAAACAUUUCCAUCAUCAAAUACUUUGGUUAAAUAAUUUUUGACUAAAAAUACUUUUCAAAAAAAGCUAACUGAUUGUUGAGUCUUUACUCCCUUUCUUUUGAUUUUUUUUAUGAUGAAUGCUUAUUUACAGAUGGUACUUAUGAGCCACAUAUAUGAAAAGAUGUAAUAUAAUGCAGAUAAGGUUGUCCAGAAAUAGCCCUUGAAUAAACUGAGAUGCAGAGACCAAAUUCACAUAGUUAAAAGUGCCUCAGUAUUCUUGCACCAUGUAUUAACAUACAACACAUUUCAUUGGGUUUAUUUUGGUCUUCAAAUUUCUUGAUGCCAAUAAUCAUCAAUUAAUUCAUUCAUGAUACAGCCAGCAGAAUACUGUAGCCAUAAGGGCACUUAAUCAGUUCUCAGUUACUUGUGGACUAUUCAUGCUCCCUUCUAAACUUCAGGCUGGCUUUGUCUUAUUGGUAAUAUAUACUUAUAGAAAGCUAACUUCUGGGUGCUCAGAUACUUAAUUUCUGAAAAUAUGUUAGAAUAAGCCAAAUAUAAAUAAGAGAUUAGACCUACUAUUGAGAUGAAAUAUAUUCUAAGAUAAAAAAUACAUGACUUCUCAAUGAAUUGUUAUUUCCGUCUACAAUACUUUUUCUGUAUGAUUGAUGAAUAUAAUCAAGAAUAGGCUGCCUACAAUGUUGAUAACUAAGUUUACUUUGCAAUUCUAAAUGCAGUUUAUAGUGCUUUACUAGCUCAGAGAGAGGUUAGUAGGAUGAGUCCAGUUUCCAUAAGCCCUUCUAAAUGGGAAAUGAGACCUCUCCCACAUAAAUGAGUAUUUUUAACUAAAUAGAGAUAAAAAUAGUAUAUCUAAAUGUUCCCUUGCAGGAGAGGUUGUGUACAGGAGCUCUCUAUUGCCAAACUUUCACAUAAGGUCAAACCCAGGAUUACAAGCUAUAACCAUGCUUGCCAUCUUUAAAGCAAUUCUUCAUAUUUAAGAACAAGUCAAUUUUGUGACAUACGGUGUUAAAGUAUGGGGUCUGGUGUAACCUUAGGAAGACAGAGUCUGCUGUGUAUCUAAAAUCAACCUGUAAGUACUGGUAGAAAAUCCAUAAAGAUUGCUGAAUGAAAGAAGUAAUAAAUACUGUCCUCAACAAUG